rnacentral:rRNA from 1 species
GGGGAGCUUGCUCCCUGGUGGCGAGCGGCGGACGGGUGAGUAAUGCAUAGGAAUCUGCCCGGUAGUGGGGGAUAACGUGGGGAAACCCACGCUAAUACCGCAUACGUCCUACGGGAGAAAGCGGAGGAUCUUCGGACUUCGCGCUAUCGGAUGAGCCUAUGUCGGCCAUGCUAGUUGGUAAGGUAACGGCUUAUCAAGGCGACGAUCCGUAGCUGGUCUGAGAGGAUGAUCAGCCACACUGGGACUGAGACACGGCCCAGACUCCUACGGGAGGCAGCAGUGGGGAAUAUUGGACAAUGGGCGAAAGCCUGAUCCAGCCAUGCCGCUGAGUGUGGCAAGGCUUUCGGGUUGUAAAGCACUUUCAGCGAGGAAGAAAGCCUGUCGGUUAAUACCCGGCAGGAACGACAUCACUCGCAGAAGAAGCACCGGCUAACUCCGUGCCAGCAGCCGCGGUAAUACGGAGGGUGCGAGCGUUAAUCGGAAUUACUG